CAGGGGGACAACCCGCCGAAAGGCGGGCUAAACCCGCGUACAUGCCACCGGGGCAUCCCGGAGGCAGGAAAGGCUUCGGCCGGACAGGGAUGGGCAUGCGGCGCAUUAGGCAGUAGGCGGGGUAACGGCCCACCUAACCGACGAUGCGUAGGGGUUCUGAGAGGAAGGUCCCCCACACUGGUACUGAGACACGGACCAGACUCCUACGGGAGGCAGCAGUGAGGAAUAUUGGUCAAUGGUCGGGAGACUGAACCAGCCAAGCCGCGUGAGGGAUGAAGGUACAGAGUAUCGUAAACCUCUUUUGUCAGGGAACAAAGGCGGGGACGUGUCCCCGGAUGAGUGUACCUGAAGAAAAAGCAUCGGCUAACUCCGUGCCAGCAGCCGCGGUAAUACGGAGGAUGCGAGCGUUAUCCGGAUUUAUUGGGUUUAAAGGGUGCGCAGGCGGUCUGUUAAGUCAGCGGUCAAAGCCCGGGGCUCAACCCCGGCCCGCCGUUGAAACUGGCAGUCUCGAGUUGGAGAGAAGUAUGCGGAAUGCGCGGUGUAGCGGUGAAAUGCAUAGAUAUCGCGCAGAACUCCGAUUGCGAAGGCAGCAUGCCGGCUCCACACUGACGCUGAGGCACGAAAGCGUGGGUAUCGAACAGGAUUAGAUACCCUGGUAGUCCACGCAGUAAACGAU
rnacentral:rRNA from 1 species